rnacentral:lncRNA from 1 species
UUUCGCAUUUAUGAUUAUCCGAACGAAUCUUAUAAAAUGAACAAUUAUCAAUAUAAAUUUAGAAUGUAUCCUUAACUUAUCAACAGUGAAUUUGGAGAAGCUUCACCCAAUAAAAAUAUGGCUGCUUUGCCAAGGCUUUUGAGAUUGCUUUAUUCAAUAUCUAUUAUUCCUUUAUUCAUAUUAAAAAACUAAAAGCAAGAGAAGCUACUCUAUAAAGUGCCUAUGAUAACAAUUUACAAGUCCAAUAAUUAUAAUUUAUAGAGAUUGCUAAAGAUCUCUAAACAGACGGAUCAAAAUAUUCAUUAAAAGUUUAAAACUAUCAACACUUCCCUUCUCCAACCUUCGUUUCACUACACAAAACAGAAACUCUCACGAUGAGAGCAUUUAGCACAAAGUUUAUUGGGCGUGCCUUUCAACGUAGCCAGUGUACGUAUCAUGUCAUGUGCGAAAUUACGGAUACACAACCCUGUCAGCCCUAGUUCGCUUCUAGGGAGGCUUUUUUGUGGAGGACAUAACAAGGCAAAGGAAAAAGAAUAUGGAAACCAAACUCACAGACUUGAACAAAACAUAACAUUCUAAAUCUACCACCUUGCAUAAAACAUAGAACAACCAAGGAUUGAGAAGGCCUUAACUAGCAAAAAACCUCUCUAACAAUCAACCCAACAUGAUGACAGCAACCCCCUCAUCCCUCAACCUUCCAUACAGUGACAAACACUCCCAAUAAGCCCUCGUGCCCUUUACCUGCAACUGGUUCUUGCAUUCCAAGAACAACUCCCAUCAACCAAACACAAAUCAUCAAACCAAAACACAAAUCUUCUCUCUCAUCAUUCCUCCACCCCGCGCUUCCGCCUUAUCACAACAAGUCCUCCUCCCUCAGUUCUUCAUAGCCAAUCCGAAUACCCCACUCAUCCAUGGCAUCUCCAAGUCGUUAAUCCUCAAUUUCCAAUUAUAUGACUCAAAGCUACUUAUUCCUCGUCGGGAGUUUGAAACAACCAUUGAACACCACCACUGCUGCGCAAAUGUCAUCUGUGAUGAAAAUUCGUUUCCGGUAAACUUUCCAGAGAAGAGAAUUCUCCCAAGAAGUACGGGUAUAAGAACUGAUUUCUUCAAGUAAUUGUGAUGCGCCAAUGGGGGCCGACAAACCUCUUCUAAAACCCUUCAAAGCUUGCUUUAUUCGCUUCUACCACUCCACCACAUUUGUUGCCAGCUUCUUGGAGAAUUACGAUUGUUCAUCAAACUGUCUUCCUUCAUCGCGGACCACCGGAAUUGAAUCGCCUAAGAUACACAAUUUUGGAAUUCGAGUGUUUUGGAAAGCGUUUUGAGGGUCAUUGCCAGCCUGGCAUUACCAAAAGACCAGCCGAGGGCUUGAAGAACCACAGCUGCAAUUAGCAAACAUUAGAGUUCAAUGUGAGAAAAACAAAUUUCCAUCCCGACGGCUUUCGUCGUCUAGAUCGAUUGGAUCUUGUGGGGACAUGAGACAUAAGAUAAGUUUCCCAGCUAUUAGAGAAGGCAUGGAGAGAUGAAAACUGGAGAAAAAAUGGAAAGCCUUCCACCACUUUACAGGGGUUGUUCAUCUCGUGCCGGUCUACCACCACAGAAAACAAUAUUAUUAACGGUUGAGGACGAGCUCGGGAAAAAGUUACAGGAGUCAACCCAUCCGAGCUGGGAAUACCUUUGCUUAUUUGACGUCGCGCUUUCGAUAAACACCUGAGCUCGGUUAAUACACAGGCGGGUGGAAACCUGACGUUGACACGAGGCAAUGAUUGCGUGUACAAACGGGAGAUCUAGCCCUAAUCCGGGUGAGGGAAACCCAUAAAAGCCGAAAGGAUAACCCACUCCUCUGCAAGGAUGAGGAGGUGGGUAAACUACCCGGAGGUCAAGGGACCAGACGGAGUGUGGGAACACGCGCCAAGUUAUACUACAUAAGCGAGGCCACUGUAGAGGUAAGGGAGGCUUAAACGUUCUUCUUCUUCUCUUUCUUCUGGUCUUCGUGGGGAGGGCGAAAGACUGAUCGUAAGGAAUUGAGCUGUCAGGUCAACUUUUAAAAAAAAAAAACCUUGACCGUCGGGAGAGCCGAAUUUCCCGGAAAUAGCUCCGGCUGGCCGUUAACUUACCAUGUGUCUUGCAGAACAGGAGGUGGGGCGACUAUCUUGGAAUCGUCUAAAGCCCAACGGGUUGGAUUAGAUUCGCGGUAUCCCCUUCGAUUCCACAUCACAAACUCACUCCCACAAUUGGCGCACCGUCUUUGUGGGAGGGGGAAAUCGGUUGUUGUGAUACCUGCUAGAACGACACGAGACUCUGAGGGAGGAAAACUGUUCAGGGAAGUCGUCGGACCCUGGGGGGGAACCCCAAUGUCACCAGGAACCGGGGGACAGGGGGCCAAACUACUGGCGACGCGCAGAGGGCGGCGAAGGCCACCUCGAAGCAGAAGCCAGGUGGUUAUCCCCCGGGAAGCGGAGACGACCGGGGAUGUCACGAUAGGACGAAUCCAAGCACAGCUGACGCAAUGCUCAGAUUUUUAGUUGACACUGGCUUAUGGGGCGGACCCCAGCAGAGUAUACAGUCAUCCAGGGAUAAGAUUAGCGGGAGUAGAGGCCCAAGCCAGUGAGUUGCAGAGGGAAAGAGACGGACCCUGGCCCGAUCCGAGCCGGAGAGUCAUGGUGAUACAGAAAACUGAGGCGUCGAGCAACCGCGGAAGUCUUCCCCGCAUCGAUCACGAAGGAGGUGAAGAUUAAGGGACGCUCUUAAUGCAAGAGAAGGUCAAAUGGUGUGGACUUAAGGACAAAAGUCAACAGCCAAAGGGAGGCCAGUGCUAGUAAGAGUCCUUGGCCCGUGGGAUCUGCGGGCUCAUCGGUUGCGCUGUGCGAUAAAGGGCAAGAAUAUGGGUGUUCAAAACUCCGUCUCCCGGGAGAUAGAGGGUUUUUGAUGGAUCCACCGGGACGAAAAUUUGUAUCCGCCCAGGUUCACUUUUACGAUGGAAAGUCAGAGAUCCUCGGUCCCAUGUGAGCCACGUCAGGCAGAUGAGGGCUCUGUGGAAUCUAUGGAGCUCUCAUUUGGGAAGAGAUUCCCGUCCAGCUUUAGGGAGACCUGGGGGUUUUAAAGUGGUUCGACAGGGGCUACCUCCGAGGGUCAAUAGAAAACUUUUAUCAGCUCACCGGUGUUUGUUAGCUCGGUUUGCAUAAAACACCAAAACCGCCGAAGGUAUAGGGCAGCUCAUGCUGCGUGAAGAAGGGCAGAAAUGCAGUCAAUCAGAAGUUUACAGUUAAGAUGAUACUGGACAAACAUACAACGAAAUGAAGAGUGUUCUGAAGAGAUGCCGUGGCAAGCUACAAGCUCGGAUUGUCCCGGGGAUAAUUAUGGAAAAAUCUGACGUUGGAUCCUCAGACCGGUCUCCGGGACCUCAUGUCCCAGGUCGACAUGUUCGCCGAUUGGAGGAUGACGUCUAGAGAGCUAGAGAGUCUGAAAGGACGGAUGUGGCAAGCUCAGCGAGGAGAGACUGCGGUAAUUAAAAGGAGGAAAGACGGGGUCAAACUCGCUACGAGACGAGGGUUAAGCAGGGGAUAUUAAUUGUGUUUUUAAGGAACCGAUUUACAAACUCCUUGCUUAGAGCAGGGAAAAACCAUAUUUCAAGAAAAUCGGAAACCGAGGGUGGUGACCCAAAAGGCGAAAAUCAACGUUGGAGAUGCUCAUACCCGGCGAAAAAGGGGACACAAAAACCGAGAGAGAAUUGCAAGGAGGCUCCAAGGGCUUCCUAGAGCAAUUGGUUCAUGAUGGCCAUCUUAAGGAAUUCGUGGAUAUGAGAAAGACCGGGCAGAAGCAGCCCGAGAUUGAGGCCAAUUGAAGGCCCCAAAUCGAGGAGGAAGGGAGGAGACAAAGAUAAAGCAGGACCCAGAGGAUGAAAGGACUUACCCCUGGGAACCAUUCCCACAUGAUUGGGGGCCCGAAAUAGGAUGGCCCCAGCUGGAGAGCAAAAUCCGGAGCGAAAUUCCGCUGUCAAGCAAAAUGCACGAGGGUGCUCUCGGUCCAAGCACUGCCGAAGAGAUAAAAAGACGGCCGAACUGAGAGGGACCGCGUGUAACCUUUUUCCAGGGCGGACUUGAAAGAGUCCAAACACCCUCAUUCGGACCCAUUAGUGGUGCAGCUGAGGAUCGGGGAUACGACGUCAAAAGAAUCUUAGUUGAUACCGAAGCCAGUUGAGCGUAAUGUACUAUGAUUUAUUCAAGCAAUUACAAAAAUUCCCCAAGAACAAUUGGAAACCAAACCGAGUCCUCUAGUCGGGUUAAUGCUCAGCGCAUUGGCCAUUGGGAACCGUGUAUCUUUAAAACCCGAGCAGGCUCCAAGAGCUGAUGACAGGAAUGUGGAGGGGGGGACAUGCUAUUACAUCACCAUAAAUGCUAUCGUGGGAAGAAGAGACUGGUUACACAAACUGAAAGGGGGUGGCCGCCACACUUCAUCAAAGCCGUAAGUUCCUCACGCACCGAGGCGAGGAGACCAUUUAUGGAGACCAGGUGCCGAAAAAACAAUGCUACCGGCCAUUAGUGUCGACCAGAUUGGCCGAUGAAGAAGUUCUCAAAUGAUCGGGAGAGCAUGAAGUUAUUGGAGGAGGGGGGUCGGAGAUCCCGAAGGCUAAGGUCAUCGAGGAAAUGGAAUUGGUGCCGCUAUGAAUUGGACGAGACGGGCUCAGACCGAUUCUUUCUCAUCGGAUCAGGACUAUGAAUGAGAGGUCCGAGCUCAUCCAAUUCCUGAAAGCAACCACGAAGCUUUGCAUGGACCCUUAUGAAAUGCGGGAAUCGACCCAAAUUUUACAGGCACGAGUUGAACGUUCAACCGGAAUUCCGACGGUCAAACAAAAGGGGAAGGAGGUCGGCUCCCGAGCACGUGGAUUUGCACGUUGAUGAAGGAGUGGAGAGCUCAGGGAGGCGGAGCAAUAGUAGAAGUCCUUUACCCCAAUUGGCUGUCGAAAUACCGUGUGUUAAAAAAGGAAAACGGGAAAAUGGCGGGUCUGCGUCGGGAUUUCACCCACCCUCAACCGGGCUUUGUCCAAAAGACUGUUCCAUGCAAAAGGGGGGGGGGGGGGGGGAUCGAUCAGUUGGUUGACAGCACUCGGGCAUGCCCGAAUGAGUUUCCUUGACGCGUACAGAGGAAUCAUCAAUCGCUUACACGGACUGGAUCAGGAGAAGACUGCGUUCAUGACCCCCAGGGGAGUGUUUUUUUUGUUAUAAAGUCAUGCCUUGGCUCUCAAGACCGCAGGGGCCACAUACCAGAGGAUGUAGACGAGAUGUUCAAUCACGUUUGGGUAAGACCAUGGAUGCCUACAUCGAUGAACAUGGUGUGAAAAGCAAAGAAGACUCAGACCACCUCAGGGAUUUGGCCGAAAUAAUUCGCAAUCCUCCGACAACAUAAGCUACAAAACUCAAUGCAGCGAAUGUGCCUUUGGUGUUGCUCGGGGAAAUUCUUGGGCCAUCUAGUCACGAAGACGCGGAAUUGAAGCAGACCCAGAACAGAUGAUGCCAAAGGACCAGAUAGCCAGCCAAGGAAUGCCAAAGAGGUGACAGAAAACUCACCGGAUGGCAGCAGCCUCAACCGUUUUAUCAGUAAGUCUUCAGACAAUGCCGCCCAUUUUUUAAGCUUUGCGCAAAAAUGCUAAGUUCUCGUGGGAUUGAGGAGUCCGAGGGGUGGUGCGCUCUCAAACAAUUCAAAAAAAUAUCUGACAAAGCCUCCACUCCUAUCCACCCGGACGAAGGGGGAGUUGCUCCAUGUUUAACCUUGCUGUUUCCGAAACACGCCGGUGAGCGCGUUUUGUAAGAGAAAUGGUCAACGAGCAGCGACGAUUUUAUUUGUGAGAAGACACUAACUGAUUGUCAGGACACGAUUAUUUACACUGGAAAAGCUGUUCUGGGCCCUAGUGGUGGACCUCACGAAAGCUCAUGCCUACUUUCAAGCCCACACCCCAUUCUGGUGUUACACCGAGGUUCCCGCUUAAGGCCAUAUUGAUGAAUGAAGCUGACCUGACGGGAAGGCUCUCUAAAUGGUCCAUAGAACUGGGCAGUUUGACAUUAAGCUUCCUACCAAGGGCGGCAAUAAUGGGGCAAGUAUUGGUGGACUUCGUGGCAGAGUUUUCCCCCAGGCCGGACAAUCUCAGGACAGAUACAGUCCAAACCCCUGGAAUGAAGGGGAAACUCACAAAACGCACCGUCCGAACUUAAAGCACCAAGUAUAAUGAGGUCACUCCAGAACCUCAAGAGAAGAGACCCCGCUGACUUGAAGGAAUUACCCGAAGGGGACCAGAGGGUUAUUUUUGGAACACCUCGGGUAGGCCUGCUGUGGCAUGGAAGAUGUAUGUUGAUGGAAGCCAAGAACCGCCAAGGGGCAAAGGGCGGGUGUAGUGUUGAAAAGGCCCGAAGCUUGGUUUGCGAACAGUUGCCUCCGAUUUAAGUUUCCCCAGCGAACGAUAAUGAAGCCGAGUACGAGGACCCUGAUAGCCGGGUGGUGAGGUCCGCCAGUAAGAUGGGAUGCCGGAGUUAUUGGCGGAGUUAGCAUAAUCGCGAUUCAAAACUGGUUGUAAUUCAAGUGACCAGCGCAUUUGAGGAGGCUCGAGGGUGGGUUUAAAAUGGCGAAGUAUUUGCAAGGUGGCAAAAAUCCUUCUCAGCGAGUUCGAGCAUUUAAAAUCGAGCAGGUCGGGAGGAGAGAGGCUCACGCGGGGCAAUGCGGAUUGCGCUAGCCUCUUUGGCAUUCCACCUUUGAAGGGGGACCAUGGCAGAACGGAGCAGUCGACAUCGUCUCGGUCCCAGUUAGAAGAAACGGAUUCAUCCGUUCUUUCAACACGACAAAAUAGGACGAUGAUGGACCCCUAUCGUGAACUAUUUACGGGGCCUGACAGCUGCCAGUGACAGGGAAAAGAGGCACAUAAGAUCAGGAUCAAGGCUGCACGAUUGGGACUCCCCCACGGGGACUGUACAAAAGAUUCUUACCAAGGCCCCUACGUUGUUUGUGUACACCCGAGCCUCGGACGAGGAAACGUACUUUAUGAAAUCCAUGAGGGAAUGUGCGGAUACACUCUGGGGGGAAGAUAGUUGAGCAAACAGAGCCUCUUUCACAGGGUACUGGUGGCCUUACAUGCAGAAGGGACGCUCAGGUAUAUGUGCGAGGUGCAAUAAGUUGGAAGCUCUUUUCACCCCUGAUCAUCAACCUGCAGGGGACUUUGUCCCCGAUCACUAGUCCUUGGCCCUUCCCAACGGGGGAAUGGAGAUAGUAGGGUCAUACCUAGACUCCUCAUGAGGGGCAACAAGAGGUUUUUACUUUGUAGCGACGAUUACUUCAAAAAAUGGGUAGAAGGCGAGCCGCUAGCACAAAAUAGAGAGACAAAACGUGAUAAGGUUUAUCCGAUGGUAACACCUUUACAGAUUUGGCAUCCUGGUGGCCUUCGUUGUCGGAUAACGGUACCCAAUUCGUCGGAAGCCAAAGGUAAAGGUCUGUUAGAGCAGCUGAAAGAUUGAAAAGAUUAAUUUUACAACCAACGGCGAGCUUACCCGCAGUGUAAUGGACAAGCCGAGGAGCCGCAAUAAAACUAUCUUGAUGGGAUCAAAAACGAACUAGGAAGGCCAAAGGACGAAUGGGUCGAUGAAUUGGCAACGGAUUAGGGGCUUAUGGACCACACCACGGAAGCGACGAAUGAAACGCCAUACUCACUGGCUUUCGGAUUCGAAGAAGUCGUAAUCCCAUUGGAGGUCGGCUGCCCACAAUCUGAGGACAGCGGCAUAACACAAUCUAACAACAACGAGCGGUCCUGGCACGAGGAUCUUGAACUUGGCUGAGAAAGGAGAGAGAAGCACUCAUCAGAAUGGAUGACUAUCAAAAAAGCAGGUGCUAAAUCCUUCAACCAGAAAGUAAACGAAAGGGAGUUUGAAGUGGGAAGUCUCGUUCUCAGGAAAAGCGUUGGAAACACUAAAGAUCCAACGGACGGCAAAGCUAGCAGCCGAACUGGGAGGGCGCCCUACAAAAUAUCAAACUAGCCGGAAAGAAGUUCUUACAUCUGGAAGAUGCAGAAGGAAAAGACAAUCCCGCGACCUUGAAUGCCAGCAAUUGCGAAAGUAUUUCCACUAAAUUGUAAUGCGCACUGGGCCAUAUCACAUGUAUAAAAGCAUUAAUCAUCAUCAAUUACUCUUCAAGUAAGUAUUGGUUUACAACCUUUAUUCCGACAAUUUUUACAAGUUUUUACAAUUAACUGAUCAAAUCGCGCGAAGGGGUAGCCGAGCUUCGAAAAAGCACCGAACUGCCUUCAGACGCUUAAUAAAGUAAGACACUUGGUUUAAAAUUCGAAGGGAAGCUAGCCGAGGCUUUACAAUGACUCCGAGCUUGUCCAUUAACGUUUACAAGUUAACGUGAUUCCAAAUCGCGAGAGGAGAGGGGUUAGCCGUAGCUUCGAAAAAAAGCACGAAACUGCCUUCAUACGCUUUAAUCAAGUGCACUUGGUAAAAUUCGAAGGGGAAAGGCUAGCCGAGCUUUACAAUGCUCCGAGCUUGUCCAUUAACGUUUACAAGUUAACUGAUCAAAUCGCGAGGAAGAGGUUAGCGAGCUUCGAAAAAAAGCACGAACUGCCUCAUACGCUUUAAUCAAGUGACUGGUAAUUCGAAAGGGAAAGCUUAGCCGAGCUUUACAAUGCUCCGAGCUUGGUCCAAGUAACGUUUACAAGUUAACUUGAUCAAAUGCGAGAAGGGGUUAGCGAGCUUCGGAAAAGCACGAAACUGCCUUCAUACGCUUAAUCAAGUAAGCACUGGUAAAAUUCGAAGGGAAGCUAGCGGCUUUACAUGCUCCGAGCUUGUCUUUAAUUUUUGCAAGUUAACUCGUUUAAUUACAUCUUUAGAGGGUUAGUCGAGCCCACCGAGCUCCGGAUAGUACUUGGUCAAUUUGUCAAUCCAUUUAACGUAUUUUAAGGCCAGAAUAGGAAGACAAAAACUUUGCAAUGAAUUCAAGCAACAACAGAAUGAGAAGUAAAUCAGGGAUUUUUUAUUCCAUAUAUAAAAGAGAGAAAUUCAGAUACAAGUAUUUUUCGGAUACGUUACUACAAUUCUAAUUACAAGGUAAAGACAGACUAACGCUUGAAAGAAAAGGUUGAGAGGACCACGUCAUCUUCAUCUUCACAUCAACGACGUUGAUCCGAGCCCACCUUCCAUUCUGAUGAUAAUGGAACCAAGUCCUAUCCAUCGAGUCUGCAAGAGGCACGGCACGGGCCUUCACUGAUUCUUUAUGUCUUGUGGGACCGUUACCUCGAAAUAAGGCAUAUGACUCCACAAUAACCUCGGUACUCGGGCGAUUGCGGGGUGCCGUAGAGGCCACUCAACCGAACCAUGGCCGGAAAAAAGCCCCGCGGGCCGAAACCGGACUUAAGCUCAAAAGCUACAGAGCUUUUUUUGGGAAACAGAAGCUUCAGACUACGAGCUGUUUGAGAACAGAGGUUGAUAUACAUAAGUGCUUGCCAAUCCCAACCACGUCCAAUGAAAAUCAUCUUGAACCCCUUGGAGAUUACAGGGGAUUUUUUCUAACAGAAGCCAGCCAGUUUGGGUGAGAACAAGGGCAUUUUUGUUUUGACGGUUGAGUUGCUCCUCAGAAAAGAUUGUUGAAUGAUGGGGGCUUUGUGUUCAUCAAAGUCGGGUGCAUCCACUAUGUAAAAGGCCCCUUCGAACCUCAACGAAACGACGCCACUGAAGGCAGAAGUUAUUAGACCGAAUUUAGUGCGACGUUCAACUGACCGGGAACAGUGCCCAAUAGUCGGUUCAAACGACGUUACAUUUUUUCGAAAUAGGGGCAUGAAACGUGGACCAUGACGUUUCCAGUGAACACGAGCCUAGUACAAUCGUUGUUUAACAUGUGGUGAGUCCACAGCGCAAUUUAUAACAACGCGUGGGAUGGAAGCAUCCUUAUGAACCGGGCGAGGCGAAUCCAGACUAUUGCAAAGACGCGAGGAAUCGUUCUUAACAAGAGUCAAAAUCAAUAAACCGAGAUCAACCGCACUUAAGAACCUGGUAAACAAUGGUUAUACUGAAAUGCAUAGUCAUAAGCUGUCCAAAAUUUUACAUAAUGCAAAUCGACAAAUACAUGAAGAGUCUAAUCAAGGAAGCGUUCCUAACGAGGUUUUCACCCUCUUGCUUCUAAGCUCGGUCCGCCCUCCUGCUUCCCAGCUCGGUCCCGAUCAAACAGUCUCCGCGGCCCCACUGCCGAGCUUCCAUGGCAAACGGCGUAUUAUCCCUCGGUAGCAGGAGGGUCGCAUACUCCUCCCUUCUUGAAGUCGGGCAGGUGGAUGGGGAAUAUCGCUCCGGGGACAGGGAGCUGGACUGGAGGGGCAAGCGACGACCAGCGAGGUGGGGAUGGAUCCAGUAGGAUCUGAACUCCUUCAAACAGGCAAGCCAUCCCUCCCUGAAAGACAAAACCGGGGUCGGGGCGAGCUAUCGGCUAUCUUCUUUCAUACAAACGUUCCUAUCCCGCCUCGAAAGCGCGGUCGAACAGCUUCUUGUAUACCUCGCCACAAACGACCGCUUUCAGUCGGACGCUUCUUCUUGGGCGGGGGUUCCGUUGAAGAAUUACGAUCCCGGCUGCCGAACGUGCAUCUGCGAGAUCGGACUGAGUUGUGUUUCAUUCACAGCUCGCUUUUCGAGGUUACUCGCCUUCUGAUUCUCCUUCUUCAGAUCCACCACACCCUGCUUUAGCCGGAAUAGGGGAGCAGUGCGAGGGAGGAAGAUACAGCUCGCUGUGAAAUAAACUACAAAGGGAGAAAAACAAAAAAAAGAGAGGAUAGAAAGAACAGAUGUAUCAGGCUUGUUAAUCAGAGAUGAAAGCCGGAAACUGACGAUUCUAACAUGGGCCCCAAACAUAACGAGCUUGCCCCCGAAUUCUGCCGUGGUAUCAGCAGCAUGAUCCGCGACGUUUGGGGAGCAGCAUCACCGCAAUCUGCCCAGCGCGGACACAGAGUCUCGUGGUCUUAGAAGUGUCGCCGAGGGGUAACUUGUUUGCCGAGCUCCAUAGCGGGAAAAUUGAAGGGGCCCACAGCUCGGGGGUUGCCAGCGGCCGAUCCUACACCCUUUCCCCUCUUCGGUUGAGAAGUUCCCCUCUACAGGUGCUUCCCUUUCGUUUGCCACCAUCAAGGAUGGCGCGGUGGACUGAUCUUCGGCUGGGGCUGGUGUGGACGAGAAUGAGCCUCGGGGAGUGUUGGACGGAUCAGUUGUUGGGGCUUGCUUCUUCCCCAGAAUCCCACCUUAGGGGCCAUGAUCUCCGCGUUCAACUGGGACCCACAGAUGAACUGUCACUGUGAGAGUAGGAGUGCUCAACAAUCUCCCUCGGUUCGACGAUGGGCACGUCAGAAUCAGAGUGCGGGGAGAUUUAUAGGUUUCUGGGCCAGGAAAUAUGGGAGCUGGAACCAAAGGAGCCGCAGGAGGAUUUUGAUCCCACUUCUUCGCAGUCUUCACCUCGGCAUCUUCGUUCAGGGCUCGCUCGCCCAAAUCGAUUGUCCCAGAUGGAAGAGCUCGAUUCGAUGGGCUAGACUUUCGCAUUCAGCUUCUUCAACCGUCUUCGAGCUCGGCUUUGAGGUCCCUUCAUACGCACUGACCUCGUCAGAUUAGAGAGCUCCUCGGCCUAGAACCUGGUCCUCGGAUCUGGAAGGGGAGGAAAAGAGAACGGGGCUUUUGUGUUGUCCCUGAGAGCGGCUUCGGAGAGGAAUGGCGUAUCGGGACAAGGGGAUGUAACCUGUAAAUCGAAGGAGAGACUUUGCGGGUGAGCGUCCACAAUUUGUAUCACAGCACUUAAUUGCAGGCGAACCACCGGUCGUCCUCCUCCAAAAGCGUCUGUGUUGAAUAAUGCAAAAAAACGAACCAGGGCAAACAGCAGUUAACAGUUAGCAAGAAUGGACGAUGACAAAGUAAUCGCAGAGGAAACACGCCGGUUCUCACCUACAGGGACUUAACCCCUGUGGCCUAGGAACGAGAAGGGGUCGGGUCGUUGACAGGAAAACUCCCAUUGACCGAGACCCAAAUGAAAUCAUUAAAUACUGGUCCUUGUCCGGGGAAUCCGUACACUAACCUCGUUUGAGGCUGCUUUGGCUUCCUAAGGCGGAAAAUAGUGAUUGCCUUCGAGCAUUUGGGUAUCGGGGUUUUCUAGGAUGACCACGCAGUAGAGUAAUAUGAAAACGAUCAUCUGCGGUGAAUUCUAAUCCUUCUCUGCACAAGCCUAAACCGCCAAGCACGGUUCGGACGAAGUUUACAAAGGACUUGCAUAAAAGUGAGCCCGCAGAUAAAGAGUAAAGGACCUCAAGAGUUGCUGAGGGAAAUCGAAAAGCCCGGCCUUGGUAAGGAACCAGGUCCUAAUGUUCAUGCGGUCGCCUAUCCUCCACCCAAUCGCAUCCAUCGUUUGACCCGGGGCUCUAUUACUACGUCGUCAGGGAUCCUAUGGUCGACACGGAAUGGGCUAAGGCUCGCUAUCGCGAAAAAGCAUUUGAGCCCGAUUUCACGCAA